rfam:Gossypium hirsutum cultivar TM-1 chromosome 25, whole genome shotgun sequence
CAUGUCAACGCGGUUUGCUGACGUGGCAGCAAAUCGUGUCCACGUAAGCACGGUUUGUGUCCACGUCAGCAAAGUGCCUUGUCGUGG